GUGAACGCUGGCGGCGUGCCUAAUACCUGCAAGUCGAGCGAACGGACGAGAAGCUUGCUUCUCUGAUGUGCGGCGGACGGGUGAGUAACACGUGGAUAACCUACCUAUAAGACUGGGAUAACUUCGGGAAACCGGAGCUAAUACCGGAUAAUAUUUUGAACCGCAUGGUUCAAAAGUGAAAGACGGUCUUGCUGUCACUUAUAGAUGGAUCCGCGCUGCAUUAGCUAGUUGGUAAGGUAACGGCUUACCAAGGCAACGAUGCAUAGCCGACCUGAGAGGGUGAUCGGCCACACUGGAACUGAGACACGGUCCAGACUCCUACGGGAGGCAGCAGUAGGGAAUCUUCCGCAAUGGGCGAAAGCCUGACGGAGCAACGCCGCGUGAGUGAUGAAGGUCUUCGGAUCGUAAAACUCUGUUAUUAGGGAAGAACAUAUGUGUAAGUAACUGUGCACAUCUUGACGGUACCUAAUCAGAAAGCCACGGCUAACUACGUG
rnacentral:rRNA from 1 species